CUGGUGUAGAAGCUUGGAAAGCCUGCCAGAGUCCAGGCAUGGGGAAUUCUGGGAGUUGAAGUCCACCAAGGUGGGGGUGUGGGGGGGCGAAACCUGAUUUA